rnacentral:rRNA from 1 species
UACGUAGGUGGCAAGCGUUAUCCGGAAUUACUGGGCGUAAAGCGUGCGCAGGCGGUCUGUUAAGACCGAUGUGAAAUCCCCGGGCUUAACCUGGGAACUGCAUUGGUGACUGGCAGGCUUUGAGUGUGGCAGAGGGAGGUAGAAUUCCACGUGUAGCAGUGAAAUGCGUAGAGAUGUGGAGGAAUACCGAUGGCGAAGGCAGCCUCCUGGGCCAACACUGACGCUCAUGCACGAAAGCGUGGGGAGCAAACAGG